AGAGUUUGAUCCUGGCUCAGGAUGAACGCUGGCGGCGUGGAUAAGGCAUGCAAGUCAAACGGCUCGCAAGAGCAGUGGCAGACGAGGUAGUAACACGUAGGUACGCACCCCAAAGUCAGGAAUAACUAGCCGAAAGGUUAGCUAAUACUUGAUAGUCUCUUCGGAGUAAAGAUUUAUCGCUUUGGGAGCGGCCUGCGGGAUAUCAGCUAGUUGGUAAGGUAAUGGCUUACCAAGGCUAUGACGUCUAGGGGAGGUGAGAGCCUGACCCCCACCGAUGGAACUGAGAUACGGUCCAUACACCUACGGGUGGCCGCAGUCGAGAAUCUUCCGCAAUGGGCGAAAGCCUGACGGAGCGACGCCGCGUGAUGGAUGAAGUGCUUCGGCAUGUAAACAUCUUUUAUAGGCAAGAAAGUAAUUGAUCAGCCUAAGAAUAAGGAGUUGCUAAACUCGUGCCAGCAGCAGCGGUAAUACGAGUGCUCCAAGCGUUAUCCGGAAUCAUUGGGCGUAAAGGGUGUGUAGGUGGUUGUGUUAGUCUUUUGUUAAAUUCUUCGGCUUAACCGGGGGCAUGCAAAAGAAACGGCACAACUAGAGGAUGCGAGAGGUAUAUGGAACUCAUGGAGUAGGGGUGAAAUCCGUUGAUAUCAUGGGGACCACCAAAAGCGAAGGCAAUAUACUGGCGCACUCCUGACACUGAGACACGAAAGCGUAGGUAGCGAAUGGGAUUAGAUACCCUAGUAGUCC
rnacentral:rRNA from 1 species